rnacentral:misc_RNA from 1 species
UCCGGUUUGUCACCGGCGGUCUCCGUAGAGUGCCCAACUGAAUGGUGGCAACAUAGAACGAGGGUUGCGCUCGUUGCGGGACUUAACCCAACAUCUCACGACACGAGCUGACGACAACCAUGCACCACCUGUGUAGGGCCCCGAAGGACACCGUAUCUCUACGGCUUUUCCCUACAUGUCAAACCCAGGUAAGGUUCUUCGCGUUGCAUCGAAUUAAUCCGCAUGCUCCGCCGCUUGUGCGGGCCCCCGUCAAUUCCUUUGAGUUUUAGCCUUGCGGCCGUACUCCCCAGGCGGGGCGCUUAAUGCGUUAGCUGCGGCACAGGGAACCGGAGAGACCCCCCACACCUAGCGCCCAACGUUUACAGCGUGGACUAC